GGACUACACGGGUAUCUAAUCCCGUUUGCUCCCCUGGCUUUCGCGCCUCAGCGUCAGUAGAGGUCCAGCGCGUCGCUUUCGCCACCGGCGUUCCUUCCGAUAUCUACGCAUUUCACCGCUCCACCGGAAGUUCCACACGCCCCUACCUCCCUCGAGACGACCAGUAUCCAAGGCACUUCUGCAGUUGAGCUGCAGGAUUUCACCCCGGACUUUGCCGCCCGCCUACGCGCCCUUUAAGCCCAGUGAUUCCGAACAACGUUCGCACGGUUCGUCUUACCGCGGCGGCUGGCAC
rnacentral:rRNA from 3 species